rnacentral:rRNA from 1 species
ACGAAGGGUGCAAGCGUUACUCGGAAUUACUGGGCGUAAAGCGUGCGUAGGUGGUUCGUUAAGUCUGAUGUGAAAGCCCUGGGCUCAACCUGGGAAUGGCAUUGGAUACUGGCGACCUAGAGUGCGGUAGAGGGUAGCGGAAUUCCCGGUGUAGCGGUGAAAUGCGCAGAUAUCAGGAGGAACACCAAUUGCGAAGGCAGCUCGCUGGGACGUUACUGACGCUGAGACGCGAAAGCGUGGGGAGCAAACAGGA